UUAUUGAUUCUAGUCUUCGAAUGAAUUUUGUUUUUCGUGGUUAUUCAUGCGCUCAUAAUAAACUUUGAAAUUUAUAAACUGGGCUUCGGGGUUAAUUGUCAAGCUUGCGGUCUACAUCCAAGCACACUCUAAAAAUAAGCGCCUCCCAUUUUCUCAAAACCUCUCCUCAGCAAGAGUGUCAGUCUCUCUCAUCUGUUCAAGUGAACUGACUAUUUCUAAUUCUAAACCCUAAUCCUAAAUCAACCCAACCCAGAGCGGAAUCUAAGCAUUUUCUUAUCAUCUUGCCAUCCUACACUCCUGAGUGGAAUCAUAGCAGACAAGUCAGCUCCUAAAGUAGUCGCCCAUGUAGAAGACUUCGAAGACGACGACGAGCCACAGUAUGUCAUCGCAAGAAGACGUUUGAGUACAGAGUCAACUGAUCCUGGCAGAACAAUAGCAAAUGUCCUAGAGGACAUCGCAGCUAGUCAUCCUCCUCCCACCAAUUGCACUUCAACCCAUAGACCCAAUUCAACGCACAGAUCUAGAGGGCAGCACCGAUGACACCUCGAGAGCGCUCCUGGAUCUAAAGAGAGGAACGCAUAUGAGCGAUUUGGUAGAGAUACAUUUGGCAACAAAAAAGAUGUAUGAUUACAAGAUUUACGUUUACAUCUACAUAAAAGCUAUUAUUGAAGGAAGAAGCGUUCGACACUUCACACCCGAAGAUCAAACUAUAUGGGUCAUGCGAGUGAAGCUAGCAUCUCAUUUACUAAUUGAGGGGAGAAUGAAGAAAAAAACUUCUCGAUAAACUUGACGAUGAUGACGUUGAAAGAACAGAUCCAUAAUAUAAAGAAGAUCUGGAUCAUAGGCUUGAUUGUUAGUGUUGAAAACAACUUUAACUGGUUUUCAAAACACUAUUAAAUGUUGUAAAUAUUAUGAAUGUAAAUAUUUAAUUGUUUAUGGUAUGUAAGUGAGUUUAUGAGGAGUAAUC